CAGAGUGCUACCUGCAGUCGACGAKACCUUCGGGUCUAGUGGCGCACGGGUGCGUAACGCGUGGGAAUCUGCCCUUGGGUUCGGAAUAACAGUGAGAAAUUACUGCUAAUACCGGAUGAUGUCUUCGGACCAAAGAUUUAUCGCCCAGGGAUGAGCCCGCGUAGGAUUUUCUAGUUGGUGGGGYAAUGGCCUACCAAGGCGACGAUCCUUAGCUGGUCUGAGAGGAUGAUCAGCCACACUGGGACUGAGACACGGCCCAGACUCCUACGGGAGGCAGCAGUGGGGAAUAUUGSACAAUGGGCGAAAGCCUGAUCCAGCAAUGCCGCGUGAGUGAUGAAGGCCUUAGGGUUGUAAGCUCUUUUACCCGGGAUGAUAAUGACAGUACCGGGAGAAUAAGCUCCGGCUAACUCCGUGCCAGCAGCCGCGGUAUACGGAGGGAGCUAGCGUUGUUCGGAA
rnacentral:rRNA from 1 species